AUUGAACGCUGGCGGCAGGCCUAAUACAUGCAAGUCGAGCGGACGAAGGGAGCGUUCGCCUGUAUUCAGUGGGGGACGGGCGAGUAAUGCCUAGGAAGCUGCCCUGCAUUUGGGGAUAACGUCCGUAAACGGGAGCUAAUAUCGCACCGGACCUUAGUUUGAAAGGGAGGGAUCUUCGGUGCUCGCGCGUCUAGCUGACCCUAGUAGGUAGUACCGAGCUGGAUUAGCUAGUUGGUACGGUAACGGCUUACCAAGGCAACGAUGCAUAGCUGAUCUGAGAGGGUGAUCAGUCACACUGGAACUGAGACACGGUCCAGACUCCUACGGGAGGCAGCAGUAGGGAAUCUUGGACAAUGGGCGAAAGCCUGAUCGAGCCACGCCGCGUGUGUGAAGAAGGUCUUCGGAUUGUAAAACACUUUUAGUAGGGAAGAAGAGAAGUGAGUUAAUCCCUUCAUGUCUUGACGUUACCAACACAGUAAGCACCGGCUAACUACGUG
rnacentral:rRNA from 1 species